rnacentral:rRNA from 1 species
GGAAUUAUUGGGCGUAAAGAGCUCGUAGGUGGUUGGUCACGUCUGCUGUGGAAACGCAACGCUUAACGUUGCGCGUGCAGUGGGUACGGGCUGACUAGAGUGCAGUAGGGGAGUCUGGAAUUCCUGGUGUAGCGGUGAAAUGCGCAGAUAUCAGGAGGAACACCGGUGGCGAAGGCGGGACUCUGGGCUGUAACUGACACUGAGGAGCGAAAGCAUGGGGAGCGAACAGGAUUAGAUACCCUGGUAGUCCAUGCCGUAAACGUUGGGCACUAGGUGUGGGGGACAUUCCACGUUCUCCGCGCCGUAGCUAACGCAUUAAGUGCCCCGCCUGGGGAGUACGGUCGCAAGGCUAAAACUCAAAGGAAUUGACGGGGGCCCGCACAAGCGGCGGAGCAUGCGGAUUAAUUCGAUGCAACGCGAAGAACCUUACCAAGGCUUGACAUACACCAGACCGUUCUGGAAACAGUUCCUCCCCUUUGGGGUUGGUGUACAGGUGGUGCAUGGUUGUCGUCAGCUCGUGUCGUGAGAUGUUGGGUUAAGUCCCGCAACGAGCGCAACCCUCGUUCUAUGUUGCCAGCACGUAAUGGUGGGAACUCAUAGGAGACUGCCGGGGUCAACUCGGAGGAAGGUGGGGAUGACGUCAAAUCAUCAUGCCCUUUAUGUCUUGGGCUUCACGCAUGCUACAAUGGCUGGUACAGAGAGAUGCGAGACCGCGAGGUUUUAGCGAAUCCCUUAAAGCCAGUCUCAGUUCGGAUCGUAGUCUGCAAUUCGACUACGUGAAGUCGGAGUCGCU